rnacentral:rRNA from 1 species
UGAGGAAUAUUGGUCAAUGGGCGAGAGCCUGAACCAGCCAAGUAGCGUGCAGGAUGACGGCCCUAUGGGUUGUAAACUGCUUUUAUAUGGGAAUAAAGUGAGGGACGUGUCCCUUAUUGCAUGUACCAUACGAAUAAGGACCGGCUAAUUCAGUGCCAGCAGCCGCGGUAAUACGGAAGGUCCAGGCGUUAUCCGGAUUUAUUGGGUUUAAAGGGAGCGUAGGCUGUUUGUUAAGCGUGUUGUGAAAUGUAGGAGCUCAACUUUUAGAUUGCAGCGCGAACUGGCAGACUUGAGUGCGCACAACGUAGGCGGAAUUCAUGGUGUAGCGGUGAAAUGCUUAGAUAUCAUGACGAACUCCGAUUGCGAAGGCAGCUUACGGGAGCGCAACUGACGCUAAAGCUCGAAGGUGCGGGUAUCAAACAGG